AGCAGGUUUGCAGGAAAAGGAAAAGAUCUAUGACAACUCAUCACUUGAACCAAAGCCAGGUCUCAAACUAUCAAUUGGACAUGACUUAAUAUGUGAAUAUUGAAGAUUCUGGGACAUGCUAAGCAUGAGUUCUACCAGUGAGCUACACCUCCUAUUCUAUAUUCUGAUCUGUCAAAUAACCAGGUCCUCGUUUUCUCCAGCCUGGCUGGGAUCUGAGCACUGGUAACUUGCUGUGAGGUGGGACUGAGAACUGAAUCCCCCCCCCCCCGCCAUUUGGACAGUGAAACACAAAUCACCUCUCCUGCCCUCUCCUUCCACACAGCUUGCUGUCUGCAUCAACAUGACUUUACAAUUUCAUGCUUUA